UAGGCGCUAAGGCGGUUGUCUGGUGCACUUGCUCGCCUAGGCGCCUUAAGAACACUGUAUAUAAUAUAUAUGAUAUAUAUAUAUAUAUAUAUAUAUAUAUAUAUAUAUAUAUAUAUAUAUAUAUAUAUAUAUAUAGUAUAUAUGGUAUAUAUAAAGAGUAAACAUGACAUGAAUUCUGCAAUGCUGAUUUAAGAGAAGAUAUUUGUUCAUCCAACUGAAAACAGUAGCUCCCCAAUGACCCUAAAGUAAUGCAGGUGUUCAAAACAGCAAAGAAACAGCGUUUAGAAGAACAAGUAAUGAACAGAGAAUCAGAGAUUGAGAUUUUCAGAUCAUGUCAGAUAAUGAACAGAGGUUUAGAAUCAGAUAAUGAACAGAGGUUUAGAAGAACAAGAUGGACAGAUAAUAUCAGGGUUCAGACUCCAGAGUUCAGACCAACCUCUAGACGAUGAACUCAUGCCACACGCUUGUGAACUGGACCCACUGCACGCUGGUGAAGUGGAGCCGCCGGCGAUCAGGUGGCAGUCGCCCGCCGGUUUGCUGUGGAGAGGUGGAACGAGAACGACGAGAAGACAAGAGAUUGAGACAGAGGGAAUCGAGAAGUUUUGGAAACAAGCCGUCAGGCGUCGGGGAAGGUUUUAUUGGGGGCGGUGUAGGACGUUUCACCUCCCUGUAGCCGGGCUGCCCACCCAAAAAAAGCCCAUGAAAAUUUGAGACGCGCCGGACCCUGGGCGGACAUGACCUCCUGAUCGAGUGACUAAUUGAAGCUAGUCGGCGAUCAGGUGUCCUAAUCAAGUCGCCUGCCUGAUCGACCACCCAAAACCGACCAGCCUGACUAAUCGCGGUUUGUCAGAUGACUUGAAAACACAGUAGGAAACACCAUCCCACCUAGCUGAUUUAUCAUGCCCAGGCACCUGCCUAGUCACCA
rnacentral:lncRNA from 1 species